rnacentral:rRNA from 1 species
ACGUAGGGUGCGAGCGUUAAUCGGAAUUACUGGGCGUAAAGCGUGCGCAGGCGGUUAUUUAAGACAGGCGUGAAAGCCCCGGGCUUAACCUGGGAGGUGCGCUUGUGACUGGAUAGCUAGAGUACGGCAGAGGGGGGUGGAAUUCCACGUGUAGCAGUGAAAUGCGUAGAGAUGUGGAGGAACACCGAUGGCGAAGGCAGCCCCCUGGGCUAGUACUGACGCUCAGGCACGAAAGCGUGGGGAGCAAACAGGAUUAGAUACCCUGGUAGUCCACGCCCUAAACGAUGUCAACUGGUUGUCGGGGGGGUUACUCCUUGGUAACGAAGCUAACGCGUGAAGUUGACCGCCUGGGGAGUACGGCCGCAAGGUUG